AAUAGAUACCCGGGUAGUCCACGCCGUAAACGAUGAAUACUAGGUGUAGGGGUUGUCAUGACCUCUGUGCCGCCGCAAACGCAUUAAGUAUUCCGCCUGGGGAGUACGGUCGCAAGAUUAAAACUCAAAGGAAUUGACGGGGGCCCGCACAAGCAGCGGAGCAUGUGGUUUAAUUCGAAGCAACGCGAAGAACCUUACCUAGACUUGACAUCUCCUGAAUUACUCUUAAUCGAGGAAGUCCCUUCGGGGACAGGAAGACAGGUGGUGCAUGGUUGUCGUCAGCUCGUGUCGUGAGAUGUUGGGUUAAGUCCCGCAACGAGCGCAACCCUUAUUGUUAGUUGCUACCAUUAAGUUGAGCACUCUAGCAAGACUGCCCGGGUUAACCGGGAGGAAGGUGGGGAUGACGUCAAAUCAUCAUGCCCCUUAUGUCUAGGGCUACACACGUGCUACAAUGGCAAGUACAAAAGAUGCAAUACCGCAAGGUGGAGCUAAACUUAAAAACUUGUCUCAGUUCGGAUUGUAGCUGAAACUCGACCUACA
rnacentral:rRNA from 1 species